UGUUAAAAAAUUUAUCUAUUUCUACUAUUAAAAACUGUCACGGCUAACGAAAUAACUAGACAAUUACACAUAGUGUGUUACAUGUACCUUACAUUAGCAUACAAAAGUUAAUUUUUAACAGUACAAAUAGAUAAAUUUUUUUAGCA
rfam:Gossypium arboreum cultivar AKA8401 contig_20477_3, whole genome shotgun sequence.